GUAAGGAAUAUUGGUCAAUGGAGGCAACUCUGAACCAGCCAUGCCGCGUGCAGGAAGACGGCCCUCUGGGUUGUAAACUGCUUUUAUCCGGGAAUAAACCUGCCUUCGUGAAGGUAGCUGAAUGUACCGGAAGAAUAAGGAUCGGCUAACUCCGUGCCAGCAGCCGCGGUAAUACGGAGGAUCCAAGCGUUAUCCGGAUUUAUUGGGUUUAAAGGGUGCGUAGGCGGCCUGUUAAGUCAGGGGUGAAAGACGGUGGCUCAACCAUCGCAGUGCCCUUGAUACUGAUGGGCUUGAAUGGACUAGAGGUAGGCGGAAUGUGACAAGUAGCGGUGAAAUGCAUAGAUAUGUCACAGAACACCGAUUGCGAAGGCGGCUUACUAUGGUCCUAUUGACGCUGAGGCACGAAAGCGUGGGGAUCGAACAGGAUUAGAUACCCUAGUAGUCC
rnacentral:rRNA from 1 species